UACAGAGGUCCCAAGCGUUGUUCGGAUUCACUGGGCGUAAAGGGUGCGUAGGCGGUCGGGUAAGUCUGAUGUGAAAUCUCACAGCUUAACUGUGAAACUGCAUUGGAUACUAUCCGGCUAGAGGAAUGGAGGGGAGACUGGAAUACUUGGUGUAGCAGUGAAAUGCGUAGAUAUCGGAAGGAACACCAGUGGCGAAGGCGGCUACCUGGAUUGACACUGACACUGAGGCGCGAAAGCGUGGGGAGCAAACAGG
rnacentral:rRNA from 1 species